rnacentral:snoRNA from 1 species
GCGGAUGAUGAGAAACUCUGGCGGAGUGAUGAAGAACCCUAUGAGCGCUGACG